rnacentral:tRNA from 1 species
GCCGAGGUGACGUAACGGGUAGCCGUACGAGACUUAAAAUCUCGGGGUCGUAAGACCGUGUGGGUUCGAGUCCCACCCUCGGCACCC